GACGAACGCUGGCGGCGUGGAUUAGGCAUGCAAGUCGAACGGUAUCAUCCUUUCGGGGGUGAGAGAGUGGCGAACUGGUGAGUAACACGUAGGUUAUCUACCCUCAAGACGGGGACAACCCAGGGAAACUUGGGCUAAUACCGGAUGUGAGCAACUUUUAGUUGUUUGAAAGGUGGCGUAAGCUGUCGCUUGGGGAUGAGCCUGCGUCCUAUUAGUUAGUUGGUGAGGUAACGGCUCACCUAGGCAAUGAUAGGUAGGCGGCCUUAACGGGUGGUCGCCCACACUGGGAUUGAGAUACGGCCCAGACUCCUACGGGAGGCAGCAGUCGAGAAUAGCCUACAAUGGUCGGAAGACUGAUAGUGCGACGCCGCGUGAACGAUGAAUCCCUUCGGGGUGUAAAGUUCUUUUAUAUGUGAGCAGUGCUUCUUAUAUUAACAGUAUGGGAGAGAGAUAUUAGCAUAUGAAUAAAGCAACGGCUAAACUCCGUGCCAGCAGCCGCGGUAAAAUA
rnacentral:rRNA from 1 species